GCACAAAACAGAUCAAAACUGUUCCUAAUAAGUGUCUCUGUAGGAGUAUAAGUGUUGAGUAAAAGCUUGCAAGGCUCACACUACAAUCUUGAGUUGUGAUUUUAAUAGACAAUUUUAAUCUUUUUUCAUGGCUAACAGUAGAAAGCCCAAUAUCUAGUUGAACAAGUAAAGUUUAUAGUUCAUACAUAAAAUGGCCAGCAAAUUGAUGAAUUUGAAUUUAUGGCGAAUAUGAAUUUAUGGAAAUACUUCAAGUAUAUAGAAAUAGAAGUCAAUGGGUGGGAAGGGAUGCCUAAUCACUCUAAUUUCUAUGCCUGAAAUAACAUUUAAUAUUUGAAAAUUGAAAGGAGAAAAUAACAUAAUGUUCAAUAGCAUGUAGACCAACUUAUAUAGAUAAUAUAGUACAUUCCUGAUUGGAUAUGUAUACUAUUACACUUUUCCAGAUGCCAAGAAAAAUCCAGAGAUGUGUAGACAACUUGAAGAA